rnacentral:rRNA from 1 species
GACGUAGGGCGCGAGCGUUGUCCGGAUUUAUUGGGCGUAAAGAGCUCGUAGGCGGUGUGUCACGUCGGCCGUGAAAACCUGCAGCUUAACUGUGGGCGUGCGGUCGAUACGGGCAUCACUGGAGUUCGGCAGGGGAGACUGGAAUUCCUGGUGUAGCGGUGAAAUGCGCAGAUAUCAGGAGGAACACCGGUGGCGAAGGCGGGUCUCUGGGCCGAUACUGACGCUGAGGAGCGAAAGCGUGGGGAGCGAACAGG